rnacentral:rRNA from 1 species
AAGGGAGAGUAACGGGUGGUUACUUACCCUCAGGCUCGGGAUAGUGUCGGGAAACUGACAGUAAUACCGAAUAAUAUCUUUGGAUCAAAGGUGUGAUUCCGCCUGGGGAUAGGACCGCUUUCUAUUAGCUUGUUGGCGGGGUAAUGGCCCACCAAGGCUGCGAUGGAUACCGGGUGUGAGAGCAUGGCCCGGCUCACUGGGACUGAGACACUGCCCAGACACCAACGGGUGGCUGCAGUCGAGAAUCUUCGGCAAUGGGCGCAAGCCUGACCGAGCGACGCCGCGUGCGGGAUGAAGGCCUUCGGGUUGUAAACCGCUGUCAGUUGGGAGGAAGGCGCUGUGAAGAGCAGCGUUUGACCGAUCUUCAGAGGAAGGACGGGCUAAGUUCGUGCCAGCAGCCGCGGUAAGACGAACCGUCCGAACGUUAUUCGGUAUUACUGGGCUUAAAGAGUUCGUAGGCGGCCUAGCAGGUGAGGUGUGAAAUCCAACGGCUCAACCGUUGAAUUGCGCUUCAAACCGCUAGGCUCGAGGAUGGCAGGGGUGUUGGGAACUGAUGGUGGAGCGGUGAAAUGCGUUGA